GAUGAAGAACGUAGCGAAAUGCGAUACUUGGUGUGAAUUGCAGAAUCCAGUGAACCAUCGAGUCUUUGAACGCAAGUUGCGCCCGAAGCCAUUAGGCCGAGGGCACGCCUGCCUGGGCGUCACACGUCGUUGCCCCCCCAUCUACUCCUUCGGGAUUGCGGGGGGCGGAUGAUGGCCUCUCGUGCGCCUCGUCGCGCGGUUGGCCUAAAUGCCAAGUCCUCGGCGACGCACGCCACGACAAUCGGUGGUUGCGAAACCUCGGUUGCCUGUCGUGUGCGGUCGUCGCGCAUCGAGGGCUCGAAAAAAUUGCCGGGCUUCGGCUCGACUUUCAACGCGACCCCAGGUCAGGCGGGGUUACCCGCUGAAUUUAAGCAUAUCAAUAAGCGGAGGA
rnacentral:misc_RNA from 1 species